rnacentral:tRNA from 1 species
AAGGGUAUAGCUCAGGGGUAGUGUUUGUGCUUAGCAUGCAUGAGGUCCUGGGUUCAAUUCCCAGCACCUCCA